CUGCCUGCAAAUCAGGGACUGGGAAACUUCCCACAAAUCCUUCAAGCCUUCAAGGGCUUGUCCUCAGAUGUGAGGGCUGUGUUCCCUCGGGAUGGGAUCUGCUCUCUCCACCCCAAGGAAAUGUCCAACAUCACCGGUGAGAUCUCCGGAUCCAGGCUGCUCCCAUGGGAAACACAGGAUGUGUGGAGCUGCUCCUUGCAGGCACUUUGAUUCCUGGCUGCUCCUGAAAUCAGCUGCCUGAGGUGCUGUUUAUUCCCAAGUUUUCCCUGCAGUUGGACUGGAUGGAAAGGGAGGCACACGUCCUGGCAGGGCUGGUGAGGCAGAGCAGUCUCUGCGGGUGCGCUCAGCCACCUGUGAAAUUGGGAACAUUGGAGCUCCUCCCUCUGGGGCUCCCUGCCUCUCCCUGGGCUGGCAGGGAUGCUGAGGUGGGAAAUGCUUCUUCCCAGAGCCCGCUGAUCGAAUCCAUGUGAAAUCUCCACCUGACAAUGAGGCUCAGAUGCCUGAGCCGGGGCACAGCUCCCCAGGGAGUUGCUGCUCUGGAAGUUUAACUCUUGGAAGAAGUGUUUGCUCUUUUAGUGUUCUUCUUUCUUUUCCUCUUUCAAACACCCUGAAUAAAACAAAAAUCUGUGUAUGAAGUGCUGA